AGAGUUUGAUCCUGGCUCAGAACGAACGCUGGCGGCGUGCCUAACACAUGCAAGUCGAACGGAAUUAAGGGGCUUGCUCCUUAAUUUAGUGGCGCACGGGUGAGUAACGCGUGGAUAAUCUGCCUGACGAUCUGGGAUAACAUCUCGAAAGGGGUGCUAAUACCGGAUAAGCCCACGGGGACUUCGGUUCUUGCGGGAAAAGGGGGGGACCUUCGGGCCUUCUGUCGUCAGAUGAGUCCGCGUACCAUUAGCUAGUUGGUAGGGUAAAGGCCUACCAAGGCUACGAUGGUUAGCUGGUUUGAGAGAAUGAUCAGCCACACUGGAACUGAGACACGGUCCAGACUCCUACGGGAGGCAGCAGUGGGGAAUUUUGCGCAAUGGGCGAAAGCCUGACGCAGCAACGCCGCGUGAGUGAUGAAGGCUUUCGGGUCGUAAAGCUCUGUCGAGGGGAAAGAAGUGUAUUGUGGCUAAUAUCCACGAUACUUGACGGUACCCCUAAAGGAAGCACCGGCUAACUCCGUGCCAGCAGCCGCGGUAAUACGGGGGGUGCAAGCGUUGUUCGGAAUUAUUGGGCGUAAAGCGCGUGUAGGCGGUUUGUUAAGUCUGAUGUGAAAGCCCUGGGCUCAACCCAGGAAGUGCAUUGGAUACUGGCAGACUUGAAUACGGGAGAGGGUAGUGGAAUUCCUAGUGUAGGAGUGAAAUCCGUAGAUAUUAGGAGGAACACCGGUGGCGAAGGCGGCUACCUGGACCGAUAUUGACGCUGAGACGCGAAAGCGUGGGUAGCAAACAGGAUUAGAUACCCUGGUAGUCC
rnacentral:rRNA from 1 species